rnacentral:rRNA from 1 species
AUUGAACGCUGGCGGCAGGCCUAACACAAGCAAGUCGAGCGGUAGCACAGAGAGCUUGCUCUCGGGUGACGAGCGGCGGACGGGUGAGUAAUGUCUGGGAAACUGCCUGAUGGAGGGGGAUAACUACUGGGAACGGUAGCUAAUACCGCAUAACGUCGCAAGACCAAAGUGGGGGACCUUCGGGCCUCAUGCCAUCAGAUGUGCCCAGAUGGGAUUAGCUAGUAGGUGGGGUAACGGCUCACCUAGGCGACGAUCCCUAGCUGGUCUGAGAGGAGGACCAGCCACACUGGAACUGAGACACGGUCCAGACUCCUACGGGAGGCAGCAGUGGGGAAUAUUGCACAAUGGGCGCAAGCCUGAUGCAGCCAUGCCGCGUGUGUGAAGAAGGCCUUCGGGUUGUAAAGCACUUUCAGCGGGGAGGAAGGCGGUGAGGUUAAUAACCUUGUCGAUUGACGUUACCCGCAGAAGAAGCACCGGCUAACUCCGUGCCAGCCGCCGCAGUAA